UGGGGAUCAGCAGAGUCAUCGCCGGCAUUUGGAAAGGAUGGAUUUCUUCCACAUCAUCACGGAGACAGGCAAUGGAUGGGGGAAUGUACCGGUAUAUGCCACCUCCUGCUCCCAAUUCCAUUUAUUCUUCCACUCGAAUCUCUAUUUGAUGGCAUCAUUUCGACAAUAUGCAAAUCUCAUUUCCCUCAGACGCAUUGCAGAGACCACAAGCUGCGGCUGAUAUCCAGAUGGCCAUUAAAACCAUUGCUCUGGUACCUUGCCCCACCUCCGACCAUCCUCCUGGUGGCACACCUCCUGGCUGAUCCACAUCCACAUCCACCUCCACUGCUCUGCCCAGCAAGACAACAAAUUACAAAAAUUAAGAGACCAUUUUUGUGGAUGAAAUGUAUGGGACCGGAGGGUCCGUCCAAUGGCGGUCCGCUACGCACGGCAGGCGACACAAGUGGCCAAGGUCCUGCACACUGGCAGAAUGAGAGAGAGCAAAGAAGAGAGGUUCACUCCCUGCAGGUUCACUCACAGCAAAUUUCCCCUUGUAGGAUUGGGGAAUGGAGAGAAAUCGAGAGAAUGUGUGGGAGAUAGGAAGAAGCAAGGCGGAGAAAGUUGCCUUGAACUUACCUCGUAUUGAAAUUGAAUUAAAGAAAGAAAUGAUUAAUAGAAAUACAAGGUACGAAAAAAUGUUAAAAGAUAUAAAUGAAAGAACAUGUUAAGCGAAUAUGAGAUGGAAAAAGAUGAAGAGCAGAUGUACGGAAAGAACAGGCUUUACCAAAUGGAACCAUGGCAAAAAAAAACUGAUACGAGCGGCGCCCGAACAUUUCCACAUACUUUCUCUCUCUCGAAAAUACCCGAUAUAGUAGUCCUUACUUUUCAACUUCAAUCGAUUCGAGCUGUCAAGUGCUAGGUGGGGGUUUAAAUCAACAGAAUUCAGUCUUGUCGAUAAGUUCCCUCAGAAAACAUAGAAUCAAACGUACGGAACGUUUAAGUGAAACCGAAAGUGAAGUGAAAACUCAAUGACGGCCUGCGGAUUGUUCGGUCUCCCGCCCCGUAGCCAGGGCCCUCAAGACACCUGUCCUCAUCAGUUCCGCAUCAAAAUUGUUAACACUUCUUUAAUUUUUCUGUUUCCUGUAAAGAUGUUCUUUUGGAUUGAUUUUUUGGAGAGAUUUUAGAGAUUCUUGAGGGUUACACAUACGAUAUACUCAUCACAGACUCGACUCUUGGCUUAAAUUUCUUGGCUGAUAUCCAACGGUCUACGAAACAGUAAGGACGAUCACCACUUCUAAAAAUACUACUGCUACACUCGUCGCACUACAUAUGUACCUACAUAUACUCAUCAGAUGGACAUGUCUAUAGUCUACCAAAUGCAAGAUUUCUUGGGUGAAAACACUUGGGUUCUAGAACUGGAAUAAAACACAAUUACAGACUAUUUUUUCGAAACUGAAUACUGGAUAGUGGACUACGACAAUGGUCGGACAAAAUCGAUGCGGACUCGGAAAUGUACUUGGACCAUUCUUUGACACUUAUUUGGCUUUGAAAUGUGGAGUAGGCCCACUGGCACUACCAUGAUAGGAAAAAGCGGGUAGAACUCUACCUCUAUCGUGUUGUGGAAAAUAACUCAAUACGCUGUCAGACAUAACCACAUAUAUAAGUAAAUUAAACCAAAUAUCA
rnacentral:sRNA from 1 species